rnacentral:rRNA from 1 species
AGUGAACGCUGGCGGUAGGCCUAACACAUGCAAGUCGAACGGCAGCACAGUAAGAGCUUGCUCUUACGGGUGGCGAGUGGCGGACGAGUGAGGAAUACAUCGGAAUCUACUUUUUCGUGGGGGAUAACGUAGGGAAACUUACGCUAAUACCGCAUACGACCUACGGGUGAAAGCAGGGGAUCUUCGGACCUUGCGCGAUUGAAUGAGCCGAUGUCGGAUUAGCUAGUUGGCGGGGUAAAGGUCCACCAAGGCGACGAUCCGUAGCUGGUCUGAGAGGAUGAUCAGCCACACUGGAACUGAGACACGGUCCAGACUCCUAUGGGAGGCAGCAGUGGGGAAUAUUGGACAAUGGGCGCAAGCCUGAUCCAGCCAUACCGCGUGGUGAAGAAGGCCUUCGGGUUGUAAAGCCCUUUUGUUGGGAAAGAAAAGCAGCAGGUUAAUACCCCGCUGUUCUGACGGUACCCAAAGAAUAAGCACCGGCUAACUUCGUG